GCAAGUCGAGGGAGAAAGUCAUUUCGGUGGCGAGUAAACCGGCGCAAGGGUGAGUAACGCUAGUUAAUGUAACCAUCGGAGCAGAAUAAUUCACCGAAAGGUGUUGUAAAACUGGAUGAUACAUGGAGGUCUUCGGGCUUUUCUGUCAAUGUCGUGGGACCCUUCGGGGCCACGAGCCGAUGGAGCGGACUAGCUCCGAUUAGCUUGUUGGUGAGGUAAUGGCUCACCAAGGCAUUGAUCUGUAGCCGGCCUGAGAGGGUGUUC
rnacentral:rRNA from 1 species